GUACUUGCUUCGGCAGCACAUACACUAAAAUUAGAAUGAUACAGAGAAGAUUAGGAUGACCCCUGCACAAAUAUGAGCUGAGCCUGGACAACUUAGGGAGACCUUA
ensembl:snRNA U6 U6 spliceosomal RNA